AUGAGAGCCCUCCGUUUCGCACAUAACAACAACAUCGCCGAAGAUCCACCAUCGAAACUACCACGAUCCGACCGUCUCCCCUUCAAAUCCGGAGACAACCGCAACCGCCUCUGUGCAAUCAUCAUGAUUCUGCCCAGAUUCACAAAAUCAUUAUCCAUUGGCAUCCUCCAGUUUGUUUUCCAUUCUGAUUUUUAUUCAUGUGAUUUAAUUAAGACAUGUUUGAUUAAAUAA